GGCCUUGUACACACCGCCCGUCACACCACGAGAGUUUGUAACACCCGAAGUCGGUGGGGUAACCUUUAUGGAGCCAGCCGCCUAAGGUGGGACAGAUGAUUGGGGUGAAGUCGUAACAAGGUAGCCGUAUCGGAAGGUGCGGCUGGAUCACCUCCUUUCUAUGGAGA
rnacentral:rRNA from 1 species